rnacentral:piRNA from 1 species
GAAAGAGGGGAAGAAAGAAGUUG